rnacentral:rRNA from 1 species
AUUGAGCGCUGGCGGCAUGCCUUACACAUGCAAGUCGAACGGCAGCGCGGACUUCGGUCUGGCGGCGAGUGGCGAACGGGUGAGUAAUACAUCGGAACGUACCCUGUUGUGGGGGAUAACUAGUCGAAAGAUUAGCUAAUACCGCAUACGACCUGAGGGUGAAAGUGGGGGACCGGAAACGGCCUCAUGCAGCAGGAGCGGCCGAUGUCUGAUUAGCCAGUUGGUGGGGUAAAGGCCCACCAAGGCGACGAUCAGUAGCUGGUCUGAGAGGACGAUCAGCCACACUGGGACUGAGACACGGCCCAGACUCCUACGGGAGGCAGCAGUGGGGAAUUUUGGACAAUGGGGGCAACCCUGAUCCAGCAAUGCCGCGUGUGUGAAGAAGGCCUUCGGGUUGUAAAGCACUUUUGUCCGGAAAGAAAUCGCGCUGGUUAAUACCUGGCGUGGAUGACGGUACCGGAAGAAUAAGCACCGGCUAACUACGUG